AACGCUACCCUUUCUGCAGCCCUAUACUCCUCUAUCUGGGUCAUGUACAGCUCCAAAUUUGGCCCCUCCAUCGUACUCUCAUUACUCAUAAAAGGCCUCGUCCUCACACAGUUGCCUCCCUUGUUCCAUAACCCAUUUUCAAAGUGUGCAGGCGAAAAGGUUCGAAGAAUCGUCAUGCCCUUGAAGUUUUUGUUGCUGUUAAUGGCUUUGAACACUGUUCUGAAAGCCUUUCGAUAGCCGUAGUAAACUGUGAGGUCGGUGACAUUUUCUUGGAGGCAGUAGUAGCAGCCGGAUACCCGGCGGUUCUCGUAGAACAUGGUUGGACGGUAGAACCAUUGGCCAGCAGAGAUGAUAAGGUAGUCAAAUUCCUCCAUCUGAUUUGUCCAUGCCUCAUCCAACUCAUCAAGAUAGAGGUUGAAGAGACCGGUCUGGGUUGGACCACCUGGGUCUGCUAAUUUGGUUUUUAUCAGAAAGGGUGUCCAGAAACUGGCCAUGGUGAAGUUGUAGUCCGUGUACCUCCACCUUUUGAAAUUUUCGUCUGUUGUGUAUGAAACAUCAAUGGGGUAUACUA
rnacentral:lncRNA from 1 species